UGGCCAGACUCCUACGGGAGGCAGCAGUGGGGAAUAUUGGGCAAUGGGCGCAAGCCUGACCCAGCAACGCCGCGUGAAGGAAGAAGGCUUUCGGGUUGUAAACUUCUUUUAUCAGGGACGAAACAAAUGACGGUACCUGAUGAAUAAGCCACGGCUAACUACGUGCCAGCAGCCGCGGUAAUACGUAGGUGGCAAGCGUUAUCCGGAUUUACUGGGUGUAAAGGGCGUGUAGGCGGGCUUGCAAGUCAGAUGUGAAAUUCCAGGGCUCAACCCUGGAACUGCAUUUGAAACUGUAGGUCUUGAGUGCUGGAGAGGGAAUCGGAAUUCCGUGUGUAGCGGUGAAAUGCGUAGAUAUACGGAGGAGCACCAGUGGCGAAGGCGGAUUGCUGGACAGUAACUGACGCUGAGGCGCGAAAGCGUGGGGAGCAAACAGGAUUAGAUACCCGAGUAUA
rnacentral:rRNA from 1 species